rnacentral:lncRNA from 1 species
GUCAGGAUAAGCUUGGUGCUACCUCUUAUUUCUUAUUUAUUUUGUUGUUUUAGAUUUUGAUUACUGUAAAGUGAAUCUAUAGAAUAAAUUAAAGAUUGAUUUAUAAGAUAUUCAAUAUGUAAUUGAAAUACUAUGUGAUUGAAUUAUUAUGAGAAGAUAUUGGGAGUUUGUUAUCAGAUUUUAUUAGAGAUUGUUCAUGGAUGGAAGAUUAUGAUUGUUGUUUAUUGAGAGUUUUGUGUGUUUCGAUAGAGGAAGUCUAUGAUUACAAAAAUUAUAUGAAGCCAAAUUGGUUGGAGUGGAAGUCUGUUAUUUCUAGUAUUAGAUGGAAUUUAUGUAUUUUGAGUGGUCUUUUGAAAAUGCAGGGUUGUACUUUGUUGUUAUCAGUUGAUGAAAGAGUAUUAUUAGUGAGAGAAAGUAUUAUAGUAUUCUCUGGUAUUUUUAGUGGUUUAGAAUACAAUUAAUUAUGUGAUCCUAACGUGUAAGCUCAUAUAAUUAGUCUUUUUCUAUAUUCAAAUCUCCUUCUACAGAUUUAUUUUGAAAGAAAUUUGUAAAAUAAAUAAAAUGACAAUCACAUUUUAGUGCCACUAUUGAAAAAUGACAAUAAUAUUGAGUGUUAGGAAUUAACUGCCGAACGAGUAAUUUUGGAUGUUGCAUAAAGAGGUUAUAAAAUUGAAAUUGGUUCAAAAAUGAGGAAAAAUAUGUAGUUAGAUGGGAGAUAGGAAGCAAAUUCAGCAAUAUAUAAUAAAAUAUUAUUGUUAUUA